rnacentral:misc_RNA from 1 species
AGGCGGACGAUUCUCAGUUUUGAGAAAGCUAGAACUUUCUCAGAUUGCUUUUUGAAAGGAAAAGAUAAUAACCGAGUUAACUUAAUAGUUAGUCAUACGUAAAUUAUUAAGAGCUAUAGGUGGAUUUCUUGGAAAUGGUAGGCUAUGAAGGACGUGCCAAUCUGCGAUAAGCUAGGGGUAGCCGAUAAGAGGCUUUGAUCCCUAGAUCUCCGAAUGUAGAAAUACAACAUUUCGAAAGAUUUGUUAUUUAUCGGCCAAUCAAUAACCGAUAAAGGUGAACCUCGUGAAGUGAAACAUCUCAGUAGCGAGAGGAAAAGAAAGCGAAUGCGAUUCCCUCAGUAGUGGUGAGCGAAAGGGGACCAGGCCAAACCGGUUUUUCCGGGGUUGUAGGACAUUCUUUUAGAGUCCGGAAUAUAGGAGAAGUCUUUGGAAAAAGACGGCAUAGAGGGCGAUCCCCCCGUAUCCGACAUGUUCUUGACUUUUGAGUGUAUCCUGAGUAGGGCGGGACACGUGUAAUCCUGUCUGAAUCUGCCCAGACCAUUGGGUAAGCCUAAAUACUAACCAUU